AUUGAACGCUGGCGGCAUGCCUUACACAUGCAAGUCGAACGGUAACAGGUCUUCGGAUGCUGACGAGUGGCGAACGGGUGAGUAAUACAUCGGAACGUGCCCGAUCGUGGGGGAUAACGAGGCGAAAGCUUUGCUAAUACCGCAUACGAUCUACGGAUGAAAGCGGGGGAUCUUCGGACCUCGCGCGGACGGAGCGGCCGAUGGCAGAUUAGGUAGUUGGUGGGAUAAAAGCUUACCAAGCCGACGAUCUGUAGCUGGUCUGAGAGGGUGAUCAGCCACAGGGGGAGUGAGCACCGGCCCAGAGACCUAGGGAAGGCAGAGGUGGGGAAGUUUGGAAAAAGGGGGAAAGCCUGAUCCAGCCAUGCCGGGCGCAGGAAGAAAGCCUGCGGGUUGGAAACUGGUUUUGUAGGGAAAAAAAACCCUCUUUUUAAAAAAGGGGGGUAAUAAGGGAACGGUAAGAAAAAGAACGGGUUAAUUACGG
rnacentral:rRNA from 1 species